GAUGAACGCUGGCGGCGUGCCUAAUACAUGCAAGUCGAGCGAACGGACGAGAAGCUUGCUUCUCUGAUGUUAGCGGCGGACGGGUGAGUAACACGUGGAUAACCUACCUAUAAGGCUGGGAUAACUUCGGGAAACCGGAGCUAAUACCGGAUAAUAUUUUGAACCGCAUGGUUCAAAAGUGAAAGACGGUCUUGCUGUCACUUAUAGAUGGAUCCGCGCUGCAUUAGCUAGUUGGUAAGGUAACGGCUUACCAAGGCAACGAUGCAUAGCCGACCUGAGAGGGUGAUCGGCCACACUGGAACUGAGACACGGUCCAGACUCCUACGGGAGGCAGCAGUAGGGAAUCUUCCGCAAUGGGCGAAAGCCUGACGGAGCAACGCCGCGUGAGUGAUGAAGGUCUUCGGAUCGCAAAACUCUGUUAUUAGGGAAGAACAUAUGUGUAAGUAACUGUGCACAUCUUGACGGUACCUAAUCAGAAAGCCACGGCUAACUACGUG
rnacentral:rRNA from 1 species